GUAGUGAUGCAGGGAAACGUGCCUCGAAGCUGCAGAACUGUGGGCUGGUGGGGACACCGCUUCAUGACCAGUCACCAGUAAGAAAGGAGAAACAUGUUCGUGUAAAACAAAGUGCUUGCUCCACGGGUUAACCCUGGCAGCCUCUGGUGAAACUCCUUU
rnacentral:lncRNA from 1 species